UUGAAUGCAAUUUGAACAUUGAUAUAUAAGAAAAGGUUGACUUUUAAGUAGUCAUGAUCCAAUCCAGUCCUAUUUCAGGGUAUAUGGCAGACCAAGCAUGUGAAUCAAGGCUAUUAGGAAAUGAAUGGAAAACAAUAAAAAGUCUGUAUUUGCAUGCUAAUGAUGGUGUGCUAAUGGAAAGUUAUAAGUGCGAUGUUACACGAUUACAUGUGAGAUGUUUUGUAAUGCAAAAUCUGUUGCAUUAUCAAAUCUCCCUUUUAAAAGGGAGACAAUAUUUUGUCAUUUACACUAUCUUGCUUCAAAGCUUAAGAUUAAAACCAACCAGGGGGAUUCUCCAUUUUCUGCAGCAACUUUAUAGGAACUGGAUAAGUUACAACCUACAGGAAUUUUGAUUAUCAAAAUUACAGAUAAUUACAGGUCAUUUUCAUCCUGUAUUUCCAUGUCAGGUUGUUAAUUUCAGCUCUUCUCCCAGGUGAAACGUGAAACCUUAGUGGAAGUGUUGACAAAAAGAAAAACUGUGACAGUGAAUGACAAACUGAUCCUUCCAUAUAGCCUCAAUGAGGCCAUCACAGCUCGUGAUUCUAUGGCGAAGUCUUUGUACAGUGCCCUCUUUGACUGGAUAGUUCUGCGAAUUAACCAUGCACUUCUCAACAAGAAGGAUAUGGAAGAGUCUGUUACGUGUUUGUCCAUUGGGGUACUCGAUAUCUUUGGUUUUGAAGACUUCAAAACAAACAGUUUUGAACAGUUCUGCAUAAACUAUGCAAAUGAGCAGUUGCAGUAUUACUUCAAUCAACACAUUUUCAAGCUUG